GCAGUUUCACAGACGCUCUUCUGUGAAGUUGAAGUAGCAGGAAACAGAUGGCCAAGGAGGACUCAAGGUAAUGUUUCUGUCACAUACCCACACCAGAGCAUGUCAGUCUUUUUGAGGAUUGAACAGAGUCUCCAUAGCAGACAGGACAUUAAAUUCGGUGACCGUGCUAUGAAAAUAUGCAAAGUGGGUGAAGAGGACAAACUAAAUCAACAAAGCUGGUUUCCGCCACUUCUCAUCCCUCUUGGGCACCGAUCCUGACUAUAAUGUUCACUGAAUGUGGGAACAGAAAGAAACUGUGACCCCCAGAUAAUGAAAGUUGAGCUAAGACCAGUCUGAAAGCUACAGUUACAGAGAGAGAAGAAGUAGAAGAAGAAAAGAAGAAGAAGAAGAAGAAGAAGAAGAAGAAGAAGAAGAAGAAGAAGAAGAAGAAGAAGAAGAAGAAGAAGAAGAAGAAAAGUUGGAUGGGUGGAGAGGAUCUAGGAAAUGGAGAAAGUGAAACCACAAUCAGAGUACAUUAUAUGAAUUUUCAGUAAGAAAUUAAGUGCUUUGACUUUAAAUAUAAAAUAACUACAAACAAAA
rnacentral:lncRNA from 1 species